AGAGUUUGAUCAUGGCUCAGAUUGAACGCUGGCGGCAUGCCUUUACACAUGCAAGUCGAACGGCAGCAUGAUCUAGCUUGCUAGAUUGAUGGCGAGUGGCGAACGGGUGAGUAAUACAUCGGAACGUGCCCUGUAGUGGGGGAUAACUAGUCGAAAGAUUAGCUAAUACCGCAUACGACCUGAGGGUGAAAGUGGGGGACCGCAAGGCCUCAUGCUAUAGGAGCGGCCGAUGUCUGAUUAGCUAGUUGGUGAGGUAAAGGCUCACCAAGGCGACGAUCAGUAGCUGGUCUGAGAGGACGAUCAGCCACACUGGGACUGAGACACGGCCCAGACUCCUACGGGAGGCAGCAGUGGGGAAUUUUGGACAAUGGGCGAAAGCCUGAUCCAGCAAUGCCGCGUGUGUGAAGAAGGCCUUCGGGUUGUAAAGCACUUUUGUCCGGAAAGAAAUGGCUCUGGUUAAUACCUGGGGUCGAUGACGGUACCGGAAGAAUAAGGACCGGCUAACUACGUGCCAGCAGCCGCGGUAAUACGUAGGGUCCAAGCGUUAAUCGGAAUUACUGGGCGUAAAGCGUGCGCAGGCGGUUGUGCAAGACCGAUGUGAAAUCCCCGAGCUUAACUUGGGAAUUGCAUUGGUGACUGCACGGCUAGAGUGUGUCAGAGGGGGGUAGAAUUCCACGUGUAGCAGUGAAAUGCGUAGAGAUGUGGAGGAAUACCGAUGGCGAAGGCAGCCCCCUGGGAUAACACUGACGCUCAUGCACGAAAGCGUGGGGAGCAAACAGGAUUAGAUACCCUGGUAGUCCACGCCCUAAACGAUGUCAACUAGUUGUUGGGGAUUCAUUUCCUUAGUAACGUAGCUAACGCGUGAAGUUGACCGCCUGGGGAGUACGGUCGCAAGAUUAAAACUCAAAGGAAUUGACGG
rnacentral:rRNA from 1 species